rnacentral:lncRNA from 1 species
CUUCAAGCUUCUUUUUUUGUAACCCUUCCCACAGGUCUUAGAACAUGAUGACCACUCCCCCAGCUGCCACUGGGGGCAGGGAUGGUCUGCACAAGGUCUGGUGUAUUUAAUUUUAGGUCGAAGGGCAUUGCCCACAGUAAGAACCUGGAUGGUCAAGGGCUCUUUGAGAGGGCUAAAGCUGCGAAUUCUUUCCAAUGCCG